AUCGAAGUCCAACAACAUUCAGAUUAGAUAAGGUAGCUGAUCGAAGUUCCAUAAUAUUCAGAUCCGAUAAGACCAGUGAUAGAAGUUUUACAACAUUCAGAUCACAUAUGACCACUGAUCGAAGUUCAACAAUAUUCCGAUCAGACAAGACCACUGAUCGCUGUUAAACAGUAUUCUGAUCAGACAAGACCACUGGUCGAAGUUCAACGAUAUUUAGAUCAGAUAAGACCACUGAUCGAAGUUUAUCUAUAUUCAGAUCGGACAUGACCACUGAUCGAAGUUCUACAAUAUUUAGGUCAAGCAAGACCAUUGAACGAAGUUCAACAAUAUUCAGAUCAGAUAAGACCUCUGAUCGUAGUUCAACAAUAUUCGUAUCGGAUAGGACCACUGGUCGAAGUUCAACUAUAUUUUGAUUAGAUAAGACCACUUAUCGAAGUCCAACAACAUUCAGAUUAGAUAAGGUAGCUGAUCGAAGUUCCACAAUAUUCCAAUCUGAUAAGUCCACUGAUCGAAGUUCAACUAUAUGCGGAUCAGACAAGACCACUGAUCGAAGUUCUACAAUAUUCAGAUCAAACAAGACCAUUGAUCGAAGUUCAACAAUAUUUAGAUCAAACAAGACCACUGAUCGAAGUUCAACGAUAUUCAUAUCACAUAAAACCUCCGAUCAAAGUUCAACUAUUUUCGGAUCAGACAAGACCACUGAUCGAAGUUUUACAAUAUUCAGAUCAAACAAGACCAUUGAUCGAAGUUCAACAUUAUUUGGAUUAGAUAAGACCUCUGAUCGUAAUUCAACAAAUUUGCUUCAGAUAAGACCAUUGAUCGAAGUUCAACUAUAUUAUGAUUAGAUAAGACCACUGAUCGAAGUUCAACAACAUUCAGAUUAGAUAAGGUAGCUGAUCGAAGUUCCAUAAUAUUCAGAUCCGAUAAGACCAGUGAUAGAAGUUUUACAACAUUCAGAUCACAUAUGACCACUGAUCGAAGUUCAACAAUAUUCCGAUCAGACAAGACCACUGAUCGCUGUUAAACAGUAUUCUGAUCAGACAAGACCACUGGUCGAAGUUCAACGAUAUUUAGAUCAGAUAAGACCACUGAUCGAAGUUUAUCUAUAUUCAGAUCGGACAUGACCACUGAUCGAAGUUCUACAAUAUUUAGGUCAAGCAAGACCAUUGAACGAAGUUCAACAAUAUUUAGAUCAGAUAAGACCUCUGAUCGUAGUUCAACAAUAUUCGUAUCGGAUAGGACCACUGGUCGAAGUUCAACUAUAUUUUGAUUAGAUAAGACCACUUAUCGAAGUCCAACAACAUUCAGAUUAGAUAAGGUAGCUGAUCGAAGUUCCACAAUAUUCCAAUCUGAUAAGUCCACUGAUCGAAGUUCAACUAUAUGCGGAUCAGACAAGACCACUGAUCGAAGUUCUACAAUAUUCAGAUCAAACAAGACCAUUGAUCGAAGUUCAACAAUAUUUAGAUCAAACAAGACCACUGAUCGAAGUUCAACGAUAUUCAUAUCACAUAAAACCUCCGAUCAAAGUUCAACUAUUUUCGGAUCAGACAAGACCACUGAUCGAAGUUUUACGAUAUUCAGAUCAAACAAGACCAUUGAUCGAAGUUCAACGUUAUUUGGAUCAGAUAAGACCUCUGAUCGUAAUUCAACAAAUUCGCUUCAGAUAAGACCAUUGAUCGAAGUUCAACUAUAUUAUGAUUAGAUAAGACCACUGAUCGAAGUCCAACAACAUUCAGAUUAGAUAAGGUAGCUGAUCGAAGUUCCAUUAUAUUCAGAUCCGAUAAGACCAGUGAUAGAAGUUUUACAACAUUCAGAUCACAUAUGACCACUGAUCGAAUUUCAACAAUAUUCCGAUCAGACAAGACCACUGAUCGCAGUUAAACAGUAUUCUGAUCAGACAAGACCACUGGUCGAAGUUCAACGAUAUUUAGAUCAGAUAAGACCACUGAUCGAAGUUUAUCUAUAUUCAGAUCGGACAUGACCACUGAUCGAAGUUCUACAAUAUUUAGGUCAAGCAAGACCAUUGAACGAAGUUCAACAAUAUUUAGAUCAGAUAAGACCUCUGAUCGUAGUUCAACAAUAUUCGUAUCAGAUAGGACCACUGGUCGAAGUUCAACUAUAUUUUGAUUAGAUAAGACCACUUAUCGAAGUCCAACAACAUUCAGAUUAGAUAAGGUAGCUGAUCGAAGUUCCACAAUAUUCCAAUCUGAUAAGUCCACUGAUCGAAGUUCAACUAUAUGCGGAUCAGACAAGACCACUGAUCGAAGUUCUACAAUAUUCAGAUCAAACAAGACCAUUGAUCGAAGUUCAACAAUAUUUAGAUCAAAUAAGACCUCUGAUCGUAGUUCAACAACAUUCAGAUUAGAUAAGGUAGCUGAUCGAAGUUCCACAAUAUUCAAAUCUGAUAAGGCCAUUGAUCGAAGUUCAACUAUAUUCGGAUAAGACAAGACCACUGAUCGAAAGCCGACAACAUUCAGAUUAGAUAAGGUUGUUGAUCGAAGUUCCACAAUAUUCAUGUCUGAUAAGAGUCCCAAUGAUAGAAGUUCUACAACAUUCAGAUCACAUAUGACUAUUGAUUGAAGUUCAACAAUAUUCCGAUCAAACAAGACCGCUGAUCGAAGUUCUAUAAUAUUCAGAUCAGACAAGACCACUGAUCGAAGUUCAACAAUAUUCAGGUCAAACAAGAUCACUGAUCGAAGUUCAACCAUAUUCAGAUCAAACAAGACCACUGAUCGAAGUUCAACGAUAUUCAGAUCACAUAAAACCUCCGAUCAAAGUUCAACUAUUUUCGGAUCAGACAAGACCACUGAUCGAAGUUUUACAAUAUUCAGAUCAAACAAGACCAUUGAUUGAAGUUCAACAUUCUUUGGAUCAGAUAAGACCUCUGAUCGUAAUUCAACAAAUUUGCUUCAGAUAAGACCAUUGAUCGAAGUUCAACUAUAUUAUGAUUAGAUAAGACCACUGAUCGAAGUCCAACAACAUUCAGAUUAGAUAAGGUAGCUGAUCGAAGUUCCAUAAUAUUCAGAUCCGAUAAGACCAGUGAUAGAAGUUUUACAACAUUCAGAUCACAUAUGACCACUGAUCGAAGUUCAACAAUAUUCAGGUCAAACAAGAUCACUGAUCGAAGUUCAACAAUAUUCAGAUCAAACAAGACCACUGAUCGAAGUUCAACGAUAUUCAGAUCACAUAAAACCUCCGAUCAAAGUUCAACUAUUUUCGGAUCAGACAAGACCACUGAUCGAAGUUUUACGAUAUUCAGAUCAAACAAGACCAUUGAUCGAAGUUCAACAUUAUUUGGAUCAGAUAAGACCUCUGAUCGUAAUUCAACAAAUUCGCUUCAGAUAAGACCAUUGAUCGAAGUUCAACUAUAUUAUGAUUAGAUAAGACCACUGAUCGAAGUCCAACAACAUUCAGAUUAGAUAAGGUAGCUGAUCGAAGUUCCAUAAUAUUCAGAUCCGAUAAGACCAGUGAUAGAAGUUUUACAACAUUCAGAUCACAUAUGACCACUGAUCGAAGUUCAACAAUAUUCAGGUCAAACAAGAUCACUGAUCGAAGUUCAACAAUAUUCAGAUCAAACAAGACCACUGAUCGAAGUUCAACGAUAUUCAGAUCACAUAAAACCUUCGAUCAAAGUUCAACUAUUUUCGGAUCAGACAAGACCACUGAUCGAAGUUUUACGAUAUUCAGAUCAAACAAGACCAUUGAUCGAAGUUCAACAUUAUUUGGAUCAGAUAAGACCUCUGAUCGUAAUUCAACAAAUUCGCUUCAGAUAAGACCAUUGAUCGAAGUUCAACUAUAUUAUGAUUAGAUAAGACCACUGAUCGAAGUCCAACAACAUUCAGAUUAGAUAAGGUAGCUGAUCGAAGUUCCAUAAUAUUCAGAUCCGAUAAGACCAGUGAUAGAAGUUUUACAACAUUCAGAUCACAUAUGACCACUGAUCGAAGUUCAACAAUAUUCCGAUCAGACAAGACCACUGAUCGCUGUUAAACAGUAUUCUGAUCAGACAAGACCACUGGUCGAAGUUCAACGAUAUUUAGAUCAGAUAAGACCACUGAUCGAAGUUUAUCUAUAUUCAGAUCGGACAUGACCACUGAUCGAAGUUCUACAAUAUUUAGGUCAAGCAAGACCAUUGAACGAAGUUCAACAAUAUUUAGAUCAGAUAAGACCUCUGAUCGUAGUUCAACAAUAUUCGUGUCGGAUAGGACCACUGGUCGAAGUUCUACAAUAUUCAGAUCAAACAAGACCAUUGAUCGAAGUUCAACAAUAUUUAGAUCAAAUAAGACCUCUGAUCGUAGUCCAACAACAUUCAGAUUAGAUAAGGUAGCUGAUCGAAUUUCCACAAUAUUCAAAUCUGAUAAGGCCAUUGAUCGAAGUUCAACUAUAUUCGGAUAAGACAAGACCACUGAUCGAAGUUCUACAAAAUUCAGAUCAAACAAGACCAUUAAUCAAAGUUUGAACAAUAUUUAGCUCAGAUAAGACCUCUUAUCGUAAUUCAACAACAUUCAGAUUAGAUAAGGUAGCUGAUCGAAGUUCCAUAAUAUUCAGAUCCGAUAAGACCAGUGAUAGAAGUUUUACAACAUUUAGAUCACAUAUGACCACUGAUCGAAGUUCAACAAUAUUCCGAUCAGACAAGACCACUGAUCGCUGUUAAACAGUAUUCUGAUCAGACAAGACCACUGCUCGAAGUUCAAUGAUAUUUAGAUCAGAUAAGACCACUGAUCGAAUUUUAUCUAUAUUCAGAUCGGACAUGACCACUGAUCGAAGUUCUACAAUAUUUAGGUCAAGCAAGACCAUUGAACGAAGUUCAACAAUAUUUAGAUCAGAUAAGACCUCUGAUCGUAAGUCAACAAAUUUGCUUCAGAUAGGACCAUUGAUCGUAGUUCAACAUUAUUCAGAUCAAACAAGACCAUUGAUCGAAGUUCAACAAUAUUUAGAUCAAAUAAGACCUCUGAUCGUAGUCCAACAACAUUCAGAUUAGAUAAGGUAGCUGAUCGAAGUUCCACAAUAUUCAAAUCUGAUAAGGCCAUUGAUCGAAGUUCAACUAUAUUCGGAUAAGACAAGACCACUGAUCGAAGUUCUACAAUAUUCAUAUCAAACAAGACCAUUAAUCGAAGUUUGAACAAUAUUUAGUUCUGAUAAGACCUCUUAUCGUAAUUCAACAAUAUUCGCUUCAGAUAAGACCAUUGAUCGAAGUUCAACUAUAUUCUAACUAGAUAAGACCACUGAUCGAAAGCCGACAACAUUCAGAUUAGAUAAGGUUGUUGAUCGAAGUUCCACAAUAUUCAUAUCUGAUAAGAGUCCCAAUGAUAGAAGUUCUACAACAUUCAGAUCACAUAUGACUAUUGAUUAAAGUUCAACAAUAUUCCGAUCAAACAAGACCGCUGAUCGAAGUUCUAUAAUAUUCAGAUCAGACAAGACCACUGAUCGAAGUUCAACAAUAUUCAGGUAAACAAGAUCACUGAUCGAAGUUCAACAAUAUUCAGAUCAAACAUGACCACUGAUCGAAGUUCAACGAUAUUCAGAUCACAUAAAACCUCCAAUCAACGUUCAACUAUUUUCGGAUCAGACAAGACCACUGAUCAAAGUUUUACAAUAUUCAGAUCAAACAAGACCGUUGAUCGAAGUUCAACAUUAUUUGGAUCAGAUAAGACCUCUGAUCGUAAUUCAACAAAUUCGCUUCAGAUAAGACCAUUGAUCGAAGUUCAACUAUAUUAUGAUUAGAUAAGACCACUGAUCGAAGUCCAACAACAUUCAGAUUAGAUAAGGUAGCUGAUCGAAGUUCCAUAAUAUUCAGAUCCGAUAAGACCAGUGAUAGAAGUUUUACAACAUUCAGAUCACAUAUGACCACUGAUCGAAGUUCAACAAUAUUCAGGUCAAACAAGAUCACUGAUCGAAGUUCAACAAUAUUCAGAUCAAACAAGACCACUGAUCGAAGUUCAACGAUAUUCAGAUCACAUAAAACCUCCGAUCAAAGUUCAACUAUUUUCGGAUCAGACAAGACCACUGAUCGAAGUUUUACGAUAUUCAGAUCAAACAAGACCACUGAUCGAAGUUCAACAAUAUUUAGAUCAGAUAAGACCUCUGAUCGUAGUUCAACAAUAUUCGUAUCGGAUAGGACCACUGGUUGAAGUUCAACUAUAUUUUGAUUAGAUAAGACCACUUAUCGAAGUCCAACAACAUUCAGAUUAGAUAAGGUAGCUGAUCGAAGUUCCACAAUAUUCCAAUCUGAUAAGUCCACUGAUCGAAGUUCAACUAUAUGCGGAUCAGACAAGACCAUUGAUCGAAGUUCUAUAGUAUUCAGAUCAGAUAAGGCCACUGAUCGAAGUUCAACUAUAUUUGGUUGAGACAUGACCACUGUUCGAUGUUCUACAAUAUUUUGGUCAAGCAAGUCCUCUGAUCGUAGUUCAACAAUAUUUAGAUUAGAUAAGUCCUCUGAUCGUAGUUCAACAAUAUUCGCAUCAGAUAAGAACCACUGGUCGAAGUUCAACUAUAUUAUGAUUAGAUAAGACCACUUGUCGAAAUUCCACAAUAUUCAAAUCAGAUAAGACCACUGAUCGAAGUUCAACUAUAUUUGGAUCAGUGAAGACCACUGAUCGAAUUUCUACAAUAUUCAGAUCAAACAAGACUAUUGAUCGAAGUUCAACAAUAUUUAGAUCAGAUAAGACCUCUGAUCGUAAUUCAACAAUAUUCGCUUCUGAUAAGACCAUAGAUCGAAGUUCUACUAUAUUAUGAUUCGAUUGGACCACUGGUCGAAGUCCAACAACAUUCAAGAUAGAUAAGGUUGUUGAUUGAAGUUUCACAAUAUUCAGAUCUGAUAAUACCAGUGAUAGAAGUUCUAAAACAUUCAGAUCACAUAUGACCAAUGCUCGAAGUUCAACAAUAUUUCGAUCAGACAAGACCACUGAUCGAUGUUCUACACUCUUUAAAUCAAACAAGACCACUGAUCGAAGUUCAAUAAUAUUCAGAUCAGACAAGACCGCUGAUCAAAGUUCAACAGUAUUCAUAUCACAUAAAACCACCGAUCGAAAUUCAACUAUAUUCGGAUCAAACAAGUCCACUGAUCGAAGUUCUACAAUAUUCAUAUCAAACAAGACCAUUGAUCGAAGUUCAACAAUAUUGAGAUCAGAUAAGACCUUUGAUCGUAAUUCAACAAUAUUCGCUUCAGAUAAGACCAUUGAUCGAAGUUCCACAAUAUUCAGAUCACAUAAAACCACCGAUCGAAGUUCAACUAUAUUCGGAUCAGACAAGACCACUGAUCGAAGUUCUACAAUAUUUAGAUCAAACAAGACCAUUGAUCGAAGUUCAACAAUAUUUAGAUCAGAUAAGACCUCUGAUCGUAAUUCAACAGUAUUCGCUUCAGAUAAGACCAUUGAUCGAAGUUCAACUAUAUUCUGACCACUGAUCGAAGUCCAUCAGCAUUCAUAUUAGAUGAGGUAUCUGAUCGAAUUUCCACAAUAUUCGGAUCUGAUAAGACCGGUGAUAGUUCUACAACAUUCAGAUCACAUAUGACAACUGAUCGAGGUUCAACAAUAAUCUGAUCAGACAAGUCCACUGAUUGAAGUUCUACAGUAUUUAGAUCAAACAAGACCACUGAUUGAAGUUCAACAAUAUAAAGAUUAGAUAAGGCCAGUGAUUGAAGUUUAACUAUAUUCGGAUCAGACAUGACCAUUGAUCGAAGUUCUACAAUAUUUAGGUCAAGCAAGACCAUUGAUCGAAGUUCAACAAUAUUUAGAUUAGAUAAGACCUCUGAUCGUAGUUCAACAAUAUUCACAUCGGAUAGGACCACUGGUCGAAGUUCAACUAUAUUCUGAUUAGAUAAGACCACUUAUCGAAUUCCAACAACAUUCAGACUAGAUAAGGUAGCUGAUCGAAGUUCCACAAUAUUCAAAUCUGAUAAGACCACUGAUCGAAGUUCAACUAUAUUUGGAUCAGACAAGACCACUGACCAAAGUUCUACAAUAUUCAGAUCAAACAAGACCAUUGAUUGCAGUUCAACAAUAUUUAGAUCAGAUAAGACCUCUGAUCGUAGUUCAACAAUAUUUGCUUCACGUAAGACCACUGGUCGAAGUUCAACUAUAUUCUGAUUAGAUAAGACCACGUAUCGAAGUCCAACAACAUUCACAUUAGAUAAGGUAGCUGCUCGAAAUUCCACAAUAUUCAAAUCUGAUAAGAACACUAAUCGAAGUUCUACAACAUUCAGAUCACAUAUGACCACUGAUCGAAGUUAAACAAUAUUCCUAUCAGGCAAGACCACUGAUCGAAGUUCUACAUUAUUCAAAUCAGACAAGACCACUAUUCGGAUCAUACAAGACCGCUGAUCAAAGUUCUACAAUAUUCCGAUCAAACAUGACCAUUGAUCGAAGUUUGAACAAUAUUUAGAUCAGAUAAGACCUCUGACCGUAAUUCAACAAUAUUCGCUUCAGAUAAGACCAUUGUUCGAAGUUCAACUAUAUUCUUAUUAGAUAAGAUCACUGAUCGAAGUUCAACAACAUUCAGAUUAGAUAAGGUUGCUGAUCGAAGUUUCACAAUAUUCAGAUCUGAUAAGAGUCCCAGUGAUAUAAGUUCUACAACAUUCAGAUCACAUAUGACCACUGAUCGAAGUUCAACAAUAUUCCGAUCAGACAAGACCCAUGAUCGAAGUUCUACAAUAUUUAGAUCAGACACUGAUUGAAGUUUUACAAUAUUCAGAUCAAACAAGACCACUGAUCAAAGUUCAACAAUAUUCAGAUCACAUAAAGCCAUCGAUCAAAGUUCAACUAUAUUCGGUUCAGACAAGACCACUGAUCGAAGUUGUACAAUAUUCAGAUCAAACAAGUCCAUUGAUCGAAGUUCAAGAAUAUUUAGAUAUGAUAAGACCUUUGAUCGUAAUUCUACAAUAUUCGCUUCGGAUAAGACCAUUGAUCAAAGUCCAACUAUAUUCUGAUUAGAUUAGACCACUGAUUGAAGUCCAACAACCUUCAGGUUAGAUAAGGCAACUGAUUGAAGUUCCACAAUAUUCAAAUUUGAUAAGACCAGUGAUAGAAGUUCUAAAACACUCAGAUCACAUAUGACCGCUGAUCGAAGUUCAACAAUAUUCAGAUCAGACAAGACCACUGAUCGAAGUUCAACAAUAUUCAGAUCAGACAAGACCACUGAUCGAAGUUCAGCAAUAUUCAGAUCAGACGAGACCACUUGUCGAAGUUCAACAAUAUUCAGAUCACAUAAAACCACCGAUCAAAUUCAACUAUAUUCGGAUCAGACAAGACCACUGAUCGAAGUUCAACAAUAUUUACAUCAGAUAAGACCUCUGAUCGUAAUUCAACAAUAUUCGCUUCAGAUAAGACCAUUGAUCGAAGUUCAACUAUAUUCUUAUUAGAUAAGACCACUGAUCGAAGUCCAACAACAUUCAGAUUAGAUAAGGUAGCUCAUCGAAGUUCCACAAUAUUCAGAUCUGAUAAGACCAGUGAUAGAAGUUCCACAACAUUCAAAUCACAUAUGACCACUAAUCGAAGUUCAACAAUAUUCAGAUCAGAUAAGACCACUGAUCGAAGUUCAACUAUGGUCGGAUCAGACAUGACCACUAAUCGAAGUUCUAAUCGAAGUUCUGCAAUAUUUAGGUCAAGCAUGACCAUUGAUCGAAGUUCAACAAUAUUCGCAUCGGGUAGGACCACUGGUCGUAGUUCAACAAUAUUCGCACCGGGUAGGACCACUGGUCGAAGCUCAACAAUAUUUAGAUCAGAUAUGACCAAUGAUUGAAGUUCAGCAAUAUUGAGAUCAGAUAAGACCAUUGGUCGUAGUUCAACAAUAUUCAAAUCUGAUAAGAUCAUCAAUCGAAGUUCAACAAUAUUUGGAUCAGAUAAGACCACUGAUCAAAGUUCAACAAUUUUAGAUAAGAUAUGACCACUGAUCGAAGUUCAACAAUAUUCAGAUUAGAUAGGACCACUGAUCGAUGUGAAACAAUUUUCAGAUCUGGUUUGGCCAUAGAUCGAAGUUCAAAAAUUUUUCGAGCUCAACAAUUUUAUGCUCAGAUAGGACGAAUGAUUGAAGUUCAACAAUAUUCAUAUCAAAUAAGAUCACUGAUCGAAGAUCAACAAUUUUUAGAUGAGAUAAGACCAUUGAUGGUAGUUCAAUGCCUUUCAUAUCAAAUAAGACUACUUAUCGAAGUUUAACAAUUUUCAAAUCUGAUUAGACAACUAUCGAUGUUCGACAAUUUUCAUAUCCAAUAAGUCCAUUGAUCAGAUUAGACAAUUCAUCGAAGUUCAAUAAUUUUUAGAUUAGAUAAGGCCACCGAUCGAAGUUCGACAAUUUUCAGUUCAGGUAAGACUACUGAUCGAAGUUUAACAAUCUUCAGAUCAGAUAAGAUUACUGAUCUAAGUUCAAGAAUGUUUAGACAAGACAUAUGAUCAAACUUCAAGAAUUUUUACAUCUGAUAUGACCACUGAUUGGACUUCAACAAUUUUCAGUUUGAUAAGACCAUUGAUUGUAGUUCAAUAUUUUUCAGAUCAGAUAAGACCACUAAUGGAAGCUCAGCAAUUUUCGGUUCAGAUAUAGCCAAUGAUUGAAGUUCAAAAAUUUUGAUAUGAGAUAAGACCUCUGAUCAAAUUUCAACGAUUUUCACAUCAGAUAAGAUCAGUAAUCAACGUUCAAGAAUUUUGAGAUAAGAUGAAACAAUCGAUCGGAGAUCAACAAUUUUCUGAUCAGAUGGGACCGUUGAUCGAACUUCAACAAUUUUGUGAUAAGACAUUGAUCGAAGUUCAACAAUUUUCAAAUCAAAUAACACCAUUGAUGUACACUAUCAAAUAUAUUCCAAUCCAACAAUUUUAGAUCGUAUACAGCCAUGGAUCCCAACCCACAUCAGAACAAUUCGUGAAUAUGAGGAAUUGUACGUUUGGUCACUAAUUGUUAAGGCCUCACCUAGGCAUGGAUCACAUAAGACCAUUGAUCUGAACCCACUGCCAAAUCCAAAUCCUACAAUUUCUAGAUACGUUAAAACUAUUAAUCUAAAACCACAAUACGCCCAAAUUCGGAUACUCUAGGAUUAGAUAUGACCAUUGAUCAAAGUUUAGCACUUUUCAGGUCAAAUAAGACCAUUGAUCGAAGUUCCGCAAUAUUCGAAACUCCCCUAGAUAUUUUUGAAUUUGUGGAAAGUAAUGCUCUUUUGUAUACUUUCAUAACUUUUCUUCUCUAUUGUUCCUGUCAUGGGCUGAACAGUUCCAAUCUUUUUUUUUUUAAUUUAUCUCUCUAUUGAAAAUUUUCUUGGAUUUUCAUCAACAUCUUUGACAUUUUUUGCCCAUGAUUCUAUAUUAGCUUUGGAAGAAAAUUUGUAUAUUUUUCUCAAGCACUUGGUCUCGUAAUUUUUUGUAGGAUUUUGCUUAAUUUCUUAAAUAUUUUCUUGAUUGUUUCUCAAGAAAAUGCAAAUUUUUACCACUGGUUGUUUAAUUGUGUGGGAAUUUUUCAAAUUUUCAGUGUUUUUUUUUUAAUUGUCAUUCCAUCUGCAUUUUGAGAUGUUUUCUUUAUAUGCAAAAUCCUGCAUAAUGUGAAAAUAUCCAAUGUUUUCGGAUGUGAACAUAUACUUUUCAUAUCCUUUUUGCAGUUUUAUGUGCAGUGUCGUGAGUUACUUUUCAAGGAAUGGCAAUAAUUAUGUGAUGUUCUAUUAUAUUUCCUGUUAGAGCAUGGGGAACACAUUGCCAUUUGACAGGUACACGGUCAUGUCUACAUCUCCAAAGCAUUUAGUAGAAUGUAACUUGAGGAACCAUAGAAAGUCCUCGUUUAGUUAUGUCUGAUCAUUCGUUGUUGAAUACCAUGUUGGAACCUUGAUUACUGAAAAGCUUGCAGAGGUUUUUAUUUUCUAUAUCAUUUGUUUAAAAUGGUUUGCACAAAUCCAUGUUUUUUAACAGACCGAUGUUACUUAAAUUUCCUCUAUAAACAGGAAGUUUUGGAACUAAAAAAUUUGCUUUUACAAGGAUUAGCUAAGGAUAAGGUCAACGGGAGGUUCUACUUUUGAGGAAUUCAGAAUCCAGUAGUUGGUUUGUCUUUUGCUUCUUGCUGGAUAUUCUUGACCUAUUUGGUUGCUUUGUCUGGUCCAUUUUUUUGGGUCAUGCAUUGCUCUUUACAUUUUAUGAAGCUGUCCUUGGGUGAGUGCAGCUUGUUGUUAUUUCAUUGUCUUUUCUACUCAUUGUUAUGUUUCACUUGUGUUUAUGUUUCCAUACAAUUUUUAUUCAAGUAGCUGUUUUAUAAUUAUAUCAUGUCUUUUUGUUUCCUGACAUUUGACUUGGUACUUACCCUUGUUGUGCGAAUCCAAUAUGUUGUGCAAUGUCCCUCUAGUUGACAUUUCAUGGAACACAACGAUGGUGUGUGUGGUUCAACGAAGAUAAUGUUUUGCCAAUUAUGGCUAGCUUACUGCUUAAGCAGGUGUUUAUGUGGUAAAAGAACUAAAGUUCUCUCAUGUAUUAGUUUUAUAAGGGACCUAAAAUUGUUCUCAAGUAAAACCAUUUUUAAGUUCAUUAAUUUGUAUUGAUCUUUUGAAACGUACCCAAUAAUCAGUAGGUCAACGAUACUCAAUUUAGCUGUAAUCUAGGAAAUAGUAUUACUUUUCUGAUUUAACAAUCAUUUUGACAAAAAUGCUCUUAUCGACUUUUAAUGGAUAUUAGAAAAACUUGUUUUCUUAACUAUAUUGAAAAUGUAGGUGUCUUUUGAAUAUCUGCAUUUUGUGUUUUUGAAACUUUAUUAAUAUUUUUAGACAAAAUUUAAGGCAGUCUAGUGAUAGACCCCGUCCGAACAUACCUUAUUAUUUAAUUGGCUCAAGUGCUAAGGGAAGAUAAGAUUACUAUAGCAAUUGGGAAGAACAUACAACAUGAAAUGUGCGAAGCAGCUCUCUCUGUCUUCCCCACACUCGUACAUAAAUUCAAACUCAAUUGAUCGUAAAUCAUUCAUAUUGGAUCAUCAAAUGAUUCAUAUAAGACACACGUGCAUCCACAGUCGGCUUUCAAUGAAUUUUUUGGUUUUUUGUGGUAGCAGAGGUAGGAUAUUUUUGGUUAAAGGGCACUUGAGUUAUGUUUGGUGUGCACACACCACAUAAUUUAUUGGAUCUCAUAGUGUUGUUUUUUUAGUAAAUCCUUUAUUGCUCCGAGAAUUCUUGACCACUGAGAAGAAACCAAGAUGCCGUUCAAAGCUGUCGGUCUGACAUCCACUAGUUGGGGGUCCAAGAUCCUCAUCCCAAAAUGUACCAAAGCGUUGUUUAACUCAAGAUGAUAACGUUGAAGGGUAUGGACUCAUACGUUGCUCUGAGCAAACCUGAUAUGGGAUGGAAGAAUUUGAACUUGAACUUUAAUUAAGGUAAUUGAGAUCAGCCGACCGCUGGAUAUUACCUGUGCUUUCUACAACUCCUGACUAUUAAUGAGGAAGUGCCCGUGUAUUAUGAAAAAGUG